rnacentral:rRNA from 1 species
AUGGCCGUACCAUGCUGAAUAUACCGGUUCUCGUUAGAUCACCGAAGUUAAGCAUCAUUGGGCGCGGUCAGUACUUGGGUGGGUGACCACCUGGGAACACCGCGUGCUGUU